rnacentral:rRNA from 1 species
CAGUCGCCACGGUAAUACGUAGGUGUCAAGCGUUGUCCGGAAUUAUUGGGCGUAAAGGGCUCGCAGGCGGUUUCUUAAGUCUGAUGUGAAAGCCCCCGGCUCACCCGGGGAGGGUCAUUGGAAACUGGGAAACUUGAGUGCAGAAGAGGAGAGUGGAAUUCCACGUGUAGCGGUGAAAUGCGUAGAGAUGUGGAGGAACACCAGUGGCGAAGGCGACUCUCUGGUCUGUAACUGACGCUGAGGAGCGAAAGCGUGGGGAGCGAACAGGAUUAGAUACCCCAGUAGUCCCUGUCUCUUAUAC